UCUGGGACAAGCCCUGGAAACGGGGUCUAAUACCGGAUAUUGACCACCUUGGGCAUCCUUGGUGGUGGAAAGCUCCGGCGGUGCAGGAUGAGCCCGCGGCCUAUCAGCUUGUUGGUGAGGUAACGGCUCACCAAGGCGACGACGGGUAGCCGGCCUGAGAGGGCGACCGGCCACACUGGGACUGAGACACGGCCCAGACUCCUACGGGAGGCAGCAGUGGGGAAUAUUGCACAAUGGGCGAAAGCCUGAUGCAGCGACGCCGCGUGAGGGAUGACGGCCUUCGGGUUGUAAACCUCUUUCAGCAGGGAAGAAGCGAAAGUGACGGUACCUGCAGAAGAAGCGCCGGCUAACUACGUGCCAGCAGCCGCGGUAAUACGUAGGGCGCAAGCGUUGUCCGGAAUUAUUGGGCGUAAAGAGCUCGUAGGCGGCUUGUCACGUCGGUUGUGAAAGCCCGGGGCUUAACCCCGGGUCUGCAGUCGAUACGGGCAGGCUAGAGUUCGGUAGGGGAGAUCGGAAUUCCUGGUGUAGCGGUGAAAUGCGCAGAUAUCAGGAGGAACACCGGUGGCGAAGGCGGAUCUCUGGGCCGAUACUGACGCUGAGGAGCGAAAGCGUGGGGAGCGAACAGGAUUAGAUACCCUGGUAGUCCACGCCGUAAACGGUGGGCACUAGGUGUGGGCAACAUUCCACGUUGUCCGCGCCGCAGCUAACGCAUUAAGUGCCCCGCCUGG
rnacentral:rRNA from 1 species